rnacentral:rRNA from 1 species
UACGUAGGGUGCAAGCGUUGUCCGGAAUUAUUGGGCGUAAAGAGCUCGUAGGCGGUCUGUCGCGUCUGCUGUGAAAACUCGGGGCUUAACCCCGGGCCUGCAGUGGGUACGGGCAGACUAGAGUGUGGUAGGGGAGACUGGAAUUCCUGGUGUAGCGGUGAAAUGCGCAGAUAUCAGGAGGAACACCGGUGGCGAAGGCGGAUCUCUGGGCCUUACCUGACGCUCAGGCACGAAAGCUAGGGGAGCGAACAGG